rnacentral:lncRNA from 12 species
GGGUUUAUCGUUCAAACUGCUCAGUGGCUCUAUGUGAGAUUAAAAAGUCUGUCUCUCACACACACACCUGAUUGAAGUAAAUGUUAUAAUGGCCUGUUUAUCUUCACACAAAAGUGGAUUUAUCUUUCAAAUAAUAUAAUGUAAUUUAAUGAGCAAAGGAGUUUAGCCUUAGCAAUGAGAUCAUUCAGUUAUUCGAUUUAUCAUUACUUUAUCUGUAGCAAUUACCUCAAAGGUAUUUAUGUUUAAAUUAUUUUAAAUACAAAUAUUUUUAUAAGCUGUAAGAAUUAACUGAUGUAGCAGUAUUAAAAUUACAAUCAACUAAUCUGUUCGUCCAGUGAAUAUUCUGUAUAAUCAUCUAGCAAAUCUAAAAAACAUUAUUUUCCUGCUACUCCAUAGCAUGUAGCAAUUUCAGAUUGUUUAACCCUCUGAAGUCGAUUAACGCGUAUACGUGUUUUGGGGUAUUUUCUCCUGAUAAUCCCGAAAAGAACUUAAAUUANUUAAACUAAACAAGUGCUGCCGAAAACAAAUAUUCUGUGAUAAAGUAAUCCAUAUGAAAAGAACGCGAUGUCCGUUUUUCACGUCUCCCUUCAUUAUCUUCUAAUGCGACCACGCCCCCGCGCCGAGCGCGCUAUUGAGAUUCAAAUGUUUCACUGAAGCGCGCGGCUUUUGAAUACGCCCACACAACAGAAGACAACGCAGCAAGAUUGUUCUUCAAGUUUUUUUUUAUUUUACUGUUUGCUUCGCGAUGAGAGGAAUCACCACCCUCAGAACAUUUACUUUGAGGUGGAACUUGUUGGCAUAGCUGUUGUAAAAUACUUCCAAACCAUGGAUGUUUUAGCUCGCUCCAUGCUCUUAGCUGCUCUAUGCUCCAUAUGCUAGCUUGUUUACCCGCCUGCAGAGUACGUUGCUAGUGCAUGAUGUCACAUGCUGCGCCCAGCACAGCCGUGCGAUGCAAAAGCGUUCAAGAGCCAACGUCUCCGUAAACUUUUAAAUCACCUUGCAGGAAUUUGAUGUCAGAUCUGGCCACUUGUCACCGAUACUCGAUCUAGAAUUUUAUUCAAUAUCGAUGCCGAUACCCGAUACAAAUAUCGGAUCGGAGCAUCCCUAAUUAUUGAGACACUAUUUUCCUAAUUAAUUCACCCCAAAAAGAUGUGAUGUGAUUGAGGAUUUGAGAUUUGGAUUUCCUCAGAAAAAAAGAAUGAAGCACUUUAUUCAGCAGAGAUCAUAAACAUGAGUAAGUCUCUUUUUAUUUAUUUAUAUACUUGUACUAUUUUUCACAUAACGAGUAAACAUUUUACUAGUUAGACUUUUUCCAAAGACUGAAAAAAGUCAGUUACUUUGACACAAUCUGUAUUAUUAAAAGCGCUAUAUAAAUAAAGAUGACUUGACACUG